rnacentral:sRNA from 1 species
GUGGAUCAGAUUGUGGAGAGUCUAUGGCCAGAUGAACUCCUUUCCCUUGGACUAGAAUUACAACUUGGUUUCACUGCUAUUCAGAUGAUAAGAACUGACCUACCUAGCUCCUGGCUCAGUAGACACCACCCACACCUAAGAAGAAGUAUCAGAUUCUAACUUAAAGACUGUGGGUACAAGAGGAGCAUUGAAGAGUUUUCUGUUACUAUUUCACCUUAUAGCUGAUUGUUUGCUGUGGAGCUCACUGGCAACUGUCGGAUGUUACUCUAAGAUGAGGCCUGUCUCUUUGGAUUCCUUCUAUAGGACCAGGCAGGACUAUGAGAUGUGACUUGGAUGAAUAGAAGCCCAGGCAGAGGCUUGAUCAUCUUCUCUGGGAAGGACUGAACAGGAUCAUAGUGUGGAAGGCUUUAGUGGUAGCCUGGGAACAAGACGUCCUCCAGCCAGUCACCGGGAGGGAAGGGCCUGGCUCCUGCUAGAGGAGGUGAGGAGUAUCAGAAGAUGUUAAGGAAAUCUAUGUGGGGCAGGAAUUGCAGUUUGAUUGCAGUCUGUUUUAGUCACAGUGAGACUAGAUAAUCUGUUGGUUGGGAUGAAGGCUUUUGUCUUUUAGGUGUGGCACAAUGGAAUCAGACCAUUUAAGCCAUGUGCUCUGUGGGUUACCUCACAGGCCCGUAACAUAAAGCAAUGCUUGUACCAUUUUCCCUACAUAAUUAGAGCAUUAAUUAGAGCAUUCCUUAAAUAUCUAAACACAGCUGAGGAGACACCCAGUGCUGCUUGAGGAAAAUUGAUAAAACUAGCUUUCAAUUUCUGAUAUUAUAAUUCAAAGUUGACUAGUAUUUAUAUGUCCAUGUAGUCAGUCUCAGUCUUCUGGGCUUCAAGUAAUCCUCCUGCCUCAGCAUCCCAAGUAGUUGGAGCCACCUGUAUGUUUCACUUCUCUAAGGUCAACAUAAUUUAAAAUUGUUUUCAUAAUCAUGUUACGAAACUUUAAUAUCUACAUGCUUUAUGAUUAGAAUAUACAUGGCCAUGGUGCUAUUAACAAUUAUGAGUUUAAUGUCACUUCUAUGUCCUGUUGUUGUUUUUUUUUGAGACAGGGUUUCUGCUAUGUAGCCUUUGUUGUCCUGGAAGUUGCUCUGUAGACCAGGCUGAAUUCGGUCUCUUAGAGACUGCCCUGCCUGUGUUUCCCAUGUGCUAGGAUUAAAGGAAUGCACCGCUGUAGCCCAUUCAAUACUAUCUUUUUAAAACUAUAUUAACUUCUUGCCCUGUAUUAUUUUAUGCUCUAAAAGCUAUAAGUUUUGUUUUCACCAAAAAGUGAUGAGAGAAAAACAAAGAAUAUAUUAGUGUACUGUAUACUAGGUAAUUUCAACACAGUUUCUUUUUCUUAUGCUAUUGGAUUCUUUUUGUCUCUGCUUUGUUUUAUUCAAUAUUUCUCACAUUAUAUUCAUAUACCCUUCUCUGAUUUUUCAUAUGGUAGGAGUAUACAUUAAACAUUUUAGCCUGAAUUGAACAAGAAAAUUCAGAACCUUAAGUGAUACAAAUGCAUUCAUUAUGUAAUUGAAUCAAAAGAUAUCUGAAAUACUGGUAGAGAUCUAUAGGAGGGGAACAUAUGGAAGGUGCUAGAGAAAAUGUCACAGUUAGUAUCUUAGACUGAAGCAUCAGCAGCUGGCAGUGUUAUUUGCACAGAUGGACAGAAGUGAUAUGUCUUCUAAUUGAUGGAUAAAAAUCUUCCAUGGCCAACUGUUCUAAAGAGGACCUUGUAUUGGGGUUUUUGUUUGGUGGUCUUUGACCUUUGGAGGCACCAUCUGCCCAGAUUAGAACAAUUCAUUAGAAUGUUAUAUGUAUAUUUAUAUUUAUACAUGUAGUUAUGUGUUUUGAAAGUUAUAAGAUAGUUAACUCAUAGUAUGAUCCCUAUGGCUUUUCAGGCAGCCUCAUUGUUAUUUUACCUCCCUCUCUCCUUCUUCAAUAUUUACCUCUAUCCCUCCAUAAGGAGCCUCAUCAGAUACUUGUAUCCUGCUAUUACCCUCCAUUACCAAACAAAAUGUAGUGUUGUAAAGCCCAGACCCAGUGGGAUACAUUUACCAAACACUCUUGUACCUAGGGCUUAGGAAACAUUGCAGAAGUCUAUAAGAAAGACUGUAUGAGCCAGAGCAUUGAGGAGUAUGCUGUGAGGUUGUGUCUCUUAGUAAUAUCACAAGCUAUGCCCAUAAAGUUUCCCCAACAUAUCUGCUCAAUGUGAGCUGAAUACAAAUGACACAAAUGGACAUAUCGAAGUAGAUAAAAUAAAAUCCCAUGGAAUGUUGGGAGUAGGAACUAUGGUCUUCUCUAGGGAAGAGUAUAUAUAUGUGUGUGUGCAUAAAAUAACAAUAAUUAAGAAAUAACAAUAAUUAAUAAAUUAAGAAAUGAGGCCAUGCAUUUGGGUGAGAGUUGUGAGAAUUAUAUGGAAGGGUGUAGAGGGGUGCACGGGAAGGGAGAAAUGUAAUUAUAAUCUCAAAAAUAAAAUGAAUUAAUUUAAGAAUUAAAAAUAUUCAAUGUACGGAAACAUUCCAAUAGAUUAAAGGGGAUGCAUAACACAUCAUCUCAGUCUCAUUAUACGUCUUCCAAUGCAUUGAGAGAGAGAAUAAGAAAAGCAUUGUUCAUAAAGAAUGUGUUGGUUAUUUAGAGCGUUCAAGCUCCUUAUGGCUAUAUUUUUGAACACAAAUUCAUCCGAGCUGACUGAGUUUCAAUGCUACUGA